rnacentral:rRNA from 1 species
AUUGAACGCUGGCGGCAUGCUUUACACAUGCAAGUCGAACGGCAGCACGGGCUUCGGCCUGGUGGCGAGUGGCGAACGGGUGCGUAAGAUCUCUGAACUUACCCAGAAGUGGGGGAUAACGUAGCGAAAGUUACGCUAAUACCGCAUACGACCUAUGGAUGAAAGCAGGUGACCGCAAGGCCUUGUGCUCCUGGAGCGGCCGAUAUCCGAUUAGCUAGUUGGUGAGGUAAAGGCUCACUAAGGCGACGAUCAGUAGCUGGUCUGAGAGGACGACCAGCCACACUGGAACUGAGACACGGUCCAGACUCCUACGGGAGGCAGCAGUGGGGAAUGUUGGACAAUGGGCGCAAGCCUGAUCCAGCAAUGCCGCGUGAGUGAAGAAGGCCUUCGGGUUGUAAAGCUCUUUUGUCAGGGAAGAAACGGUAGAGGCUAAUAUCCUUUGCUAAUGACGGUACCUGAAGAAUAAGCACCGGCUAACUACGUG